UUAAAUUGAAGAGUUUGAUCAUGGCUCAGAUUGAACGCUGGCGGCAGGCCUAACACAUGCAAGUCGAGCGGAAACGACUUAACUGAACCUUCGGGGAACGUUAAGGGCGUCGAGCGGCG
rnacentral:rRNA from 1 species